rnacentral:rRNA from 1 species
AUGAAUUACUUAGCCUGGAACUGUCGAGGCUUUGGGUUGGACUCGACAGUUGGCGAACUCAGGGACCUGAUACGGUCAUACAACCCAGCGGUGGUGUUUUUGUCAGAAACUAAGAAGAAGGCGAGAGCAAUGGAGAAGCUGAAGUGGAGUUUGGAGUUCAGAAGCGGUGUUGCGGUAGAUUGUCAAGGUUUGAAUGGGGGGUUGGCUCUAUGGUGGAGAGAAACUGUGCAAGUUAACAUU